ensembl:lncRNA
GCUCAUUAUUAUGAAGGGGUUAGGACUGGGCGUCCUCUAGUGGACAAAGCGUGUGCGGAGUUUUCCGUCUUUCACUUCCCCCAGUGUUCCCUCUGGCUCUAAAACGGAACAAGUCCCGGGUCGUACUGUAGGAAGUCGCUCUCGUAACUUUUAGGAAAGUAACGUAGAUACACAGAAAGUCAGCCAUUCUCUUGGUGGUUUCCAUGUUGCGUGUAAAGUGUAAACGGAGACGCUGCAGGAAAAGUCGUGCUGUCAGGCAGCAGCGUUGUCCUGCAGUUCUAACACAUGAAUUUUAGAAGCAUGGCACACGACGUUAAAAACGCAGUCCAAAGGGCGAAGCAUAAAAUCUCAAGCUUGGAGAAUGAACUGUACUGUGUGAGGGAGAGCUGCUCGGAAAGUGAGGAGGAACUCCGUCAGGUGCCAUGGAAGCACAAACAAGAGCUAAAGGAUUCCCUUGUUGAUAUGUACAAAGCUAAUCCUAAAGUCAAUGAGGAACUGAAACAAAGGCUGCCGUCCCCUGUAAAGCGCCAUUGUUCAGAGACCACACCACAACUUGGAUUCUCCAGUCGGGGCUCUAGUCCAGAUAUCUUUUACAGUGCAUCAGAGACAAAAGCUACUGAGAAAAGGCCCAUUAGAGGUAAUAUAUAUAUAUAAGCUUUAAAUUCUGUCCCUAUUCUACUGUUCUACAAAUGUUGCUUAUCUUCAUUUAAACAGCAUUAUCUGUUCCUCAUCUGGCCACUGUAUUUUGUGUUUGAAUAUUUGUACUACUCUGUUUCUUUUCCCUCUCCCACUUAAGCGUUAGUCUGUUUUGAGCAAAUGGCUCAAGAUUUCAAAAAGUGCUUCUUUGUUUGCCCCAUUGCUGUUCUGUGCGAUACAUAAACAUUUAUUUACAAGUGUAAAUCACCUUCAACCACAGUGUCAGUCUGCUGUCUAAUAACUUUGCCUAGGCCAUAAUGCUAUGGCAGAGCCACUAUUUAGAUAAACUGGUUGGAAUGACAAUGAGAGAUAAACACCGUAUUUACCCACCCUUCACCAAACGCUCCUGAUACGCAAAUUUAUUCUGACGCUCUGCUCAAAUAUACAUUUGGGCUGUUGCUGAACCACUUCAAGCCCCCCACUCGCCACACAGGUUUUAGUACGCGCCAAGAUGAUUACUGAUGAUGGAACAACAGUUGCCUUUUUAUUUGUUUUGGUUGUUUAUUUGUAUGGCUUGCUUAUUUGUUUAUUUAUUUGUUGUCUUCUUUUUUUCUUUCAUUUUUAGCUUUUUCAUGGAAAUGGAUGUGCUUUUUAUCAGAUGAACCAAUUUAAUGACAUUUUAUUGCACAAAAUCGUCUUGUACACUCAAGUUGAUUUUUAAUUUCCUUUUGGUCAGGUCCCAUAGGUAAUAACCUCAGUCUCAUCCACAGUUAGAUUAAAUGCCUGCUCUCCUGUUUGUGAGGAAGCACUACUUUAAACACGCACUCAUAUUUGGGUGCAGCUACCUUUGUGAGAGGUACCGAGAGAGGAGAGGGAAAAAAAUUAAAGAAGUAACCCAGGUUAAGGAACAAUGUAUCGAGAAGUCGCAUAUUUGCCGUGUGACAAAGGGCUUAUAUAAAUGUGUUUGGCGUUAUUAUUCAUGGUUGAAUUUGGUGUUUGCACUGGUGAGUCUUAUGGAGAAUACUAAUAACUGUCUCCAGCAAUCCUGAGACCAGAGCCCUAGCAACAAAGCUAUGAGGCAGACCUCCCUGAUCUCGACUUCAAAACCUGACCUUUCGCUAAAUAAUUGUGGCUGCUAAGCUGGAGCUUUUUGGACAUCGUGGUCGCAAGGCUGCGACUCCUGCAUCACAUUGCAUUUAUUAAUGCGGAUGACUCCCCCUUUUUUCUUUUCUCUUUUUUUCUAGAGAGGCCGUGCUUUUGAAGCAGUGAUACGCUUUAAGUAGCCCAUGUUUGAAUUUGACUCAAUUUGAAUUGCAUUGAUGUCGAAACGAUUUAUGUAUAUUUUAUAAUCGCAGGAGAGACAGGCCAAUUUUUUUCCCCCAUGUAGCACUUGACCCUGGGCAUCCCCUUGAACUGUCUUAUGAUUGUAAACGGCCUUGCAAAUUGUACAAAUUUAGAAUUUAUCAUUUUAAGAUGGUAAAUAAACAAAAACAUAUGCGUUCUGUAUUGUGUUCACAAUUUUUACAACAGCUUUAAUCAGAUUACACCACGAUCGACUACCUCAGCAAUUACAGCUAGUGAAAUUGAUUCAGUUGUGAUAAUGGCUGCUAUGAUGGAGUGUGAAUAGUGAGAAGGUUUUGAGGGAUUGAGAGAGAGAGAGAGAGAGAGAGAGAGAGUGCGCAGAACAGAUAGGGCCGGCCCUCGCUGGGGGAACAGAGCGAGUGCUCAGAAAGGCUGCCAGCGAGACAGGCCUCAGUGUUUGUCUCGUAGCCUGUGACUCUGGCCCUGAGCGCUACAGAAACAUUGACAGAGGACCAUGCUUCCCCCUCCUGCCAGUCACUCAGCCUGGCUCGCCACAUUCCUUCAUGAAAGAUGGCCAGACCCAGUUUCCUUUUCAGAGAGCUGACGCAGAGCAGCUGAAAACUAACAGAGCUGCUUUUCAACUGUCAGACCUGCUUCUCAAAACAGGAGAAUGGACGUUACGUUUGGGCCUGACGUUUCUCUCUGGAUAGUUUUGCUGUUUCAUGGGUGAUACUUUUCACAAAUGUUCUCUAAAGUCUUGCUUCUUUAUGUAGCGAAUGAGAGGAAGUGAAUUAUCUUGUCUGAAUAAAUAUCUAAAUAAUAAUAAUAAUAAUAAUGAUUAUUAUUAUUAUAGUUGUUGUUGUGCACUUAAACUCAUAUUUUUGUUUCUCACAUAGAGCUUAACACACCAACACCUAGACCAGAACCAGUGGCUGGACCACCGCCACCACCACCCCCACCUC